CAGCAGCCACGGUAAUACAGAGGGUGCGAGCGUUAAUCGGAUUUACUGGGCGUAAAGCGUGCGUAGGCGGCUUCUUAAGUCGGAUGUGAAAUCCCUGAGCUUAACUUAGGAAUUGCAUUCGAUACUGGGAAGCUAGAGUAUGGGAGAGGAUGGUAGAAUUCCAGGUGUAGCGGUGAAAUGCGUAGAGAUCUGGAGGAAUACCGAUGGCGAAGGCAGCCAUCUGGCCUAAUACUGACGCUGAGGUACGAAAGCAUGGGGAGCAAACAGGAUUAGAUACCCCCGUAGUCCCUGUCUCUUAACA
rnacentral:rRNA from 1 species